GCAAGUCGAACGGUAACAGCACUUCGGUGGCUGACGAGUGGCGGACGGGUGAGUAAUACAUCGGAACGUGCCCGAUCGUGGGGGAUAACUACUCGAAAGAGUGGCUAAUACCGCAUACGAUCUACGGAUGAAAGCGGGGGAUCGCAAGACCUCGCGCGGACGGAGCGGCCGAUGGCAGAUUAGGUAGUUGGUGGGAUAAAAGCUUACCAAGCCGACGAUCUGUAGCUGGUCUGAGAGGACGACCAGCCACACUGGGACUGAGACACGGCCCAGACUCCUAC
rnacentral:rRNA from 1 species